UUAGUGAAGAGUCCAGACCUGCCCUGCCCAGCUGCGGGCUGGGCGGGGGAGGGGAAGCCAUGUGGCCGGGAUGAGUUUUGUUGAGGCAUUGCCACUCAUCUGGGAGAUCCUCCCUUCAAAAUGACUUCUGGAGUCCCAGAGAAGAGCUCGACACCUCAUCUUUUGUCCAGGAAAGACUGACGUCUUUUACUUUUCCUCAGGUGGUGAAGGUCUCCAUGGGGAGCUCCCCUUACUUCCAGCUCACGUGCUCCAGCGAUGUGUUCCGUGUCGUGCCGCCGGGCGCGUCUGCCCCUGUGCGCAUCCGCUUCAGCCCCGGCGAGAACAAGGAUUAUUCCCAUGAGCUCAUCUGUGUCACUGAAAGGGAAAGGACAGUUGUGCCAAUUCGGGCCAUUGGUGCCCGAGCUAUCCUGGACUUCCCUGCCCAGCUGGACUUCUCCAAGUAUCCAGUCAAUGCAGCACCCAGAAGACUCUGCUGGUCUGCAAUGUCGGUACCCAGGCAGCUCAUUACCAGCUGAGCACCCAGAGGUGAAGAAAAUAUCCACACAAACCUCCGUGGAGAUGCUGUAGAAGUCAAUGCUGGGUUGAGCACAAAUUCCGUGGAGCUUGAGAAGACUUUAAUCACCAUGUCAAGCCACAAAACCAUGUUCACUGAAAACAGGAGUAACAUCACAGCCUACUUCCAGUAGAAGGCUUUUCCUACUGAGGAAGGAGAGAUUGAAGAGAAGAGGAGGAAAUUCUUCAUUGUCUCAUCCAAGGACUGCGCAAUCCGAUGCAGCCUUCGGGCUUGCACACUGGGGAUCAGCCCUGCCAAUUUGGUAACACCCAAACCGCCGUCCUUCGUGCUUGAGUACAAGACGGCAUUGCAGGUGCACAAGGGCAGGUGCAGCCAGUCCUUGACCGCUGUUCGGAUUUUUUGGUCCAGGGCUUUGAGGGCCCCUGCCUUCAGUUCUGAGUGGUCUGCCAGGUAGGUCAGUCGAGGGGUGGUGUAUGUUUUGAGGAUAUCCAGCUUUUGCAGAGGUUUAGGUGGAGCUUGAUCAAUUUGUUUGAGCCAGAAGUCUAGCUUUGCGGAGAGAUCGGGUUUUGCUAUCCCAGUCCAGGGGUCAAACUGCAGGCCGAGGUACUUCUCAGAUUCUCCGGGGUCAAUCAUGUUCAGGGGUGUGCCGUUGAUGGUCCAAGCAGCGCAGUUAUUGAUGGUGUAAGAAUCCUUA